rnacentral:lncRNA from 1 species
AUGGAAGUUGGAGAGGGCUGCCAGCACACUGGUCCUGGGAUAGUGCCAAAUGGAUAUGCAAACAGGGUUUUCCAAGCAAACAUGGAGGAAGGCAGUACUGAUGCAUUGGAGAUCUGCGGUGCUGAGCACUGCACCUCCAGUGGUGCAGUCCAGAAUGAACAGGAAGAAGCGCCCAGGUAUAAGAAGAAGGCCAAGGGCAACCGGAUCUGGAAUUUUGUUAGUCGAAGGAAAGGUCCCUCCAUGAAUAACAAAAGACCCCAAUCCAUGAUCCUGCUAGGAGUUACCUCUGAGGCCUCAGAAGAAAAAAAAACAUCCUUCAUGGACAGGGUGAGGUCCUUAAAAAAGCUAAGAACCUCCAGCAUGUCUAAGAAUGUAGACUUGAGAGCAUCCAAAGUUCAGGUUGCUUGCGCCCCUGAGGAGGACCAUCACGCCAGUGGCCAAAGAGCAGUCUACAGGGUUAAGAAACUGGGAGACAGUCAGAGGCCUUCCCGCCACUCAUACGCAGGGUACAUUGAUGAUUUGGAUUCUUCUUUUGAAGAUGUAGAGCUGAAUAUCAGCAUUCCUGAAAUUGAUGCCAAUGAAAAUAAAUGGCUCAGGGAUAUUAAUGUCAGAUUGCAGAGUGAAGACAAUGAUAGUAACUGCCAUAAAAUACCAGCUAGAAAGAGCGAGUCUUUGAAUUUUGAAAACGUUAAGAGUUCUGUAGUUACAGAAGGGGACAAUCAAAAGAGGUGUAUUGUGCUCCCACAGGAGAGCAGAAGAGGAAAAAGCUCUGAUGUUUGGAGCUAUCUGAAAGGAAUUUCAUUAACUAGCAAAGAUAAUUCAAAGCCUCCAGAUCAAAGGGUUGAAACCAAUUUCCAGAACUUAGAAAAUAUAACUGAUAAUUCUGCUUCUUAUUUUGACUUUGAUACGAGGUGCGAGGAGAAUCUUAGCCAGCGAAAAAAAUCAAACAGUGCGACCAAAGCCACUCACUUUGGGGGCGUUGUGAGGUUCUUUAACAGUGUUGCGGAGGCAGCUCGGAAGUUGCGAGGCUCUUCAAGGGCAUUUUCACCAGAUGAGAAAAGGCCUCAGUCCAGUUUCAAAAGCUGGAGGCAGGAUGCCACCUCCCACAAAGAAGCCUUGGUUAUCGAGAAUGAGAAUGCGAGGGCUUUCUGCACGGUGGGAGCAUCUCUGCAGUCUCCAGACUCAGGCAUCUGGGAUAAUCAGAGUUCUGAGAGUUCAACGGGGAAGGAGCCUGCGCAGCACUGCAAAAACCCAGAGGUAUCGCAAGAAAUUGGCUGCUCUGCCCUGGGCAGUGAGAAUGAUAGUUUUAAUGAAACAUCCCUUUCUCCCUUUGGGCCAGAACCAUCCAUCUCCCCCCUGCCAGAGCUCCCAGAUGACUCUUUUUCCAUGCUAAAUACUCAAGACCCCUCUGAGACUCUGCCACAAUUUCCACGCGUGACUCUGACUAAACUAGAUACCGAGGAUGUGGGUUGUGCUCUAGUGGAUACCAAAGACAUGGAUUGCUCUCCAGCAGAGGCUCGGGAGCUUUCAAAGACAGAACUGGAUAUGCAGGACCUGAGAAAUACUGAGUUGCGUUUGAAAGACUUGUCUAUGGAUGAACUGGAGAUUGAGAAUACAAGCAGUACUCCGCAGGAGACACAGGACUUGGGCAGGAAGCUGUCAUGUUCUCAUGAUCUUUCUGUGAAUAAUCUGGGUACUGAGGAUCUGGGCAGUUCUCCAGCUGCUCAUCAUGACUUUUCUGCAGUGAUCUCUUUAAAAUGUGCAACAGUUAAAGAACAAGUUCUGAAGCAGACUGAUUGCCCUGUCAAAAAGCAUGGAACAAGUUCACCUGUAGAACAAAGUUCUGUAGAGCUACCUGACAGCUGUCUCUUUCUGAAUCUUUUUUCUCUUAAACUGGGAUCGUCAAAAAACUCCAAUGUUUUUCUCCAGUUAGCUGCAGAAGAUAAUUCUUUCUUUGGAUUAAUGUUACCUUGA